GGAAUAGAGCAACGGCUUAGUAUCGCCAUCCGCUCUUGGGGCCAUGGCAUUGUAGAGGUCGCCGGUUCGAUCCCGGCUGGCUCCACCA
rnacentral:tRNA from 1 species